GAUCGUUGAGGUCCGAGUUGUUGUUUUAGCUAGUUAGUUGUUUUACAUGUAAAUUUGUGUGAGAAUUUGAAUAAUAAUUAAUAAUUGGUAGGUGUUCUCAGUAGAAGAAAUUGGAAAAUUUGAGAAAUCGUUAUCCAGAAAAUUAAGUAGAGGUGGAAAAUAGCGUGCCAGCAGCCGCGGUUAUACGCAAGCCUCAAGUUAAAAUGGUUUUACGGAAUUUUGUUUUUGGUUUAAAUAUGAGUUUUAUAAAAUUAAUAGGUAGAAUUUUAAUUUUAUAGGAUAAACAACAAGUAAAAACAAAAAAUUUAUAAGAUGAACCAGGAUUAGAUACCCUGUUACUUAUAAGAAAAUUUUUCUGGAGUAUUAAUAUUAAUGAAAUUUAACGGAUUUGGCGGCAAGAUAGCCCAUUUAGAGGAACCUGCCCUGUAAACGAUGAACCACGAUAGACCUUACUUUCAUUGGUAAUCAGCUUGUAUACCGUUGUUGUCAGUUAGUUUCUUUAGAAAACUUUCGGCAAUGAAAAACUCAUUGACUUCAAAUAAAGGUGCAGCUAAUAUGGAAGAAAGAGGUGGGUUACAAUUAAAAUAGAGUAAAGCGGAUAGAAAAAUGAAAAAUUUCUUGAAGAUGGAUUUAAUUGUAAAGUUUAAAAAAGCUUGACAAGAGCACUAUCUUGUGUACACACCGCCCGUCGCUCUCCUUUUUAAAUGAGAUAAGUCGUAACAAGGUAAGUGUAAUGGAAAUUGUACUUG
rnacentral:ncRNA from 1 species